CAGGUACCGGUUCACGUCCCGCGAACGGCGCGGUGGCGACCCGGCGACC
rnacentral:ncRNA from 1 species